rnacentral:rRNA from 1 species
GACGAACGCUGGCGGCGUGCUUAACACAUGCAAGUCGAACGGAAAGGCCCUGCUUGCAGGGUACUCGAGUGGCGAACGGGUGAGUGACACGUGGGUGAACUGCCCUGCACAUCGGGAUAAGACUGGGAAACAGGGGCGAAUACAGGAGAGGAGCCAUCCUGAGGGAGAUGGUUGGAAAGAUUUUUCGGUGUAGGAUGAGCUCGCGGCCUAUCAGCUUGUUGGUGGGGUAAUGGCCUACCAAGGCGGCGACGGGUAGCCGGCCUGAGGGGGUGGACGGCCACAUUGGGACUGAGAUACGGCCCAGGCUCCUACGGGAGGCAGCAGUGGGGAAUAUUGCACAAUGGGCGCAAGCCUGAUGCAGCGACGCCGCGUGGGGGAUGACGGCCUUCGGGUUGUAAACUCCUUUCGCUAGGUACGAAGCUUUUUGUGACGGUACCUAGAUAAGAAGCACCGGCUAACUACGUG